GAGCGCCGUAGCAAUACGGAGCGGCAGACGGGAGAGUAACACGUGGGAACGUGCCCUUCAGUUCGGAACAACCCAGGGAAACUUGGGCUAAUACCGGAUAAGCCCUUACGGGGAAAGAUUUAUCGCCGAAAGAUCGGCCCGCGUCUGAUUAGCUAGUUGGUGAGGUAAUGGCUCACCAAGGCGACGAUCAGUAGCUGGUCUGAGAGGAUGAUCAGCCACAUUGGGACUGAGACACGGCCCAGACUCCUACGGGAGGCAGCAGUGGGGAAUAUUGGACAAUGGGGGAAACCCUGAUCCAGCGACGCCGCGUGUGUGAAGAAGGCCUGCGGGUUGUAAAGCACUUUUAGUGGGGAUGAAAAGCUCAGGGCUAACACCUCUGGGUCUUGACCUAACCCAAAGAAAAAGCACCGGCUAACUCUGUG
rnacentral:rRNA from 1 species